CUUUGCUACCAUAUCUGUACCCUGAGGCACAUUUAUAUUGUGUAUAGUACCUUAGGCAGUAGAAAGUCCCAUAUUAACCUUCCCCAGAGCAGUGAGCACCCAGUUAUAGUUGACCCCUUGAAUGAUCCAUUUUCCAUAAUAAUGAGAAUCUCCCAAGCUACUUGCAUCUCUUCCUCAAGAUUUAAAAAUAUUUUCAAAUUCUACCUCACUGGAAGAUAUUGAAGAGAUUUCUCAGGAUCUCAAGUAGGUUAGUUGGACUUAGAGCCAAACCUUGUCAAUGACUCAUCACUGUCCAUGUGUAAAAGUAGAGCUUUGUGCUUGCUUAGGCAGCACAUAUCCUAAAAUUGGAACAAUACAAAGAAAAUUAGCAUGGUGCCUGCAUAAGGAGGCUGAACCAAUUUUUGAAGGAUUCCAAGUUUUGUGCAGUCACUGGAAGGUCAUUUGACUAUUUUCUGACUAGCUCCAAGGAAAUGGUGUGAAUCAAAGCAAAAUGGGUGCCACCUAAAUAUUGAAAUUGUGAUUUUUUGCUACAAAAAUAUUCAUGUAAGGUGGUCUAAGAGAUGACCCCAGAGCUGAAUAAUGUGUGGGGUGUUGUGUGAAAAAUAUAUUGCCAGCAUGUGACUUGAAAAUUCAAGAAGGUCAACUUACAACUUCUUCAUGGAACCUAAAAAAAAAAAAAAAAAAGUAGGGUUUUAGUCUCCCAUGUCAGCUGGAGAUGAGCAGGGAGAUGAAGCAUCAUCCUAACAAACAUCUGCUGGUUUAGAGUUUGAGUCUGUAGAGAAGGAUCAUUGGUCCAAGCCAGGUGUUGACAUCCAGUGGAUUUU
rnacentral:lncRNA from 1 species